UAGAGUGAGGCUUGUUGGAUAGAGCAUUUAGCUGUUAACUAAAAUCUUAUGGGAUCGAAGCCCAUCUUUCUAGG
rnacentral:tRNA from 1 species